CAGCCGCCACGGUAAUGCGUAGGGGGCAAGCGUUAUCCGGAUUUACUGGGUGUAAAGGGAGCGCAGACGGCCAAGCAAGUCUGAAGUGAAAUGCAUGGGCUCAACCCAUGAAUUGCUUUGGAAACUGUUAGGCUUGAGUGUCGGAGGGGUAAGCGGAAUUCCUAGUGUAGCGGUGAAAUGCGUAGAUAUUAGGAGGAACACCGGAGGCGAAGGCGACUUUCUGGACGAAAACUGACGCUGAGGCGCGAAAGCCAGGGGAGCGAACGGGAUUAGAUACCCCUGUAGUCCCUGUCUCUUAUAC
rnacentral:rRNA from 1 species